GGCUCAAUGGUCUAGUGGUAUGAUUCUCGCUUAGGGUGCGAGAGGUCCCGGGUUCAAUUCCCGGUUGAGCCC
rnacentral:tRNA from 1 species